AACGUAGGAGCCUAGCGUUAUCCGAAUUUACUGGGCGUAAAGCGCGUGCAGGCGGCUUUGUAAGUUGGCUGUGAAAUCUCCCGGCUCAACUGGGAGGGGACGGUCAAGACUGCGAGGCUGGAGGCAGGGAGAGGGAGGUGGAAUUCCCGGUGUAGUGGUGAAAUGCGUAGAGAUCGGGAGGAACACCAGUGGCGAAAGCGGCCUCCUGGACCUGACCUGACGCUGAGACGCGAAAGCUAGGGGAGCGAACGGG
rnacentral:rRNA from 1 species